GAACUGAACUGAUUGGCACACGAUGUUUUCUGGAUGGCUUUAGAGCAAGCAGCGCAGUCUCUUGAGACAGACAUUCCCUCUCCCAUUGAAGGUAUUUAAAAUGUGUCUGCAUUUCCUGCAUAACUGGAUCCUAGCUCAUUAAAGAUCUCCUGUGCUUUCCAGUGCCCCAGCAAAAUGUGGCUGCUCCACAAGAAUAGAGAUCCUGCAGCAGAGGCACUUUCAGGAGUGUCUGAG